CGAAUAUGCUUUCCUAAAUAAGUGAGUUUUUAAUAAUUUUUUGAAUAAACUGAGACUGGAUGAGAGUCUAACAGAGCCGGGAAGGGAGUUCCAUAGGAACGGUGCAGCCCGAGAGAAGUCUUAAAUGCGAGCAUCAGAGGUGGGAGUACGGAUAGAGAAUAGACGCAGAAUGAAUUCAUUCCAAUAUACUAUAACUUUAUAUAGACUUCCUUUGUACAUGGAGCACUUACUAAAUAUGUACAUUAGGUUCUGUACAUUCUGUAACCAGCAUGUUUAACACUAGAACAUUCUACAACCAUUCCGCUCAGAGAGUAAUAUUGGUUUUGUCUUCCCACAAUGCUAGUUACCACAUUUCCCCCUGGGCAUCUCCACUGGUCCUGAGGGAGGAUUGUGUUUGUAUAUA